rnacentral:lncRNA from 1 species
CAGGCCCUACUUCCGGGGGUGAGAGGUGGAGGCGGACGUGCCGGGAGAUUGCUCUCGUCCUUGUGUGAGAGACCGUCAGGCGGGGGACGCCGAACAGCCUCGGGCUGUGCAAGUGAGUUCCAAGAACAGAUGACUCACAGUGAGAAGCACCUAGGUUCUGACGCCUAUCGGGGGUGCUGUGGACCAAAAGAAGCCCAAGAUAAAAUGAUGUUGACACGACUGGCUUUGUGUAUCUAG